UUUUCUCAAAUUCAGCAAGAGUUGGAGGCUUAGAUGGAGUAUUGAUACCUUGGGCAAGAAGAUUAAACACGGAAACUUGUGGAGAUUGCAAGGGUAAGAGAGAAAGGGAGCUCAAAAAGCUGCUGGAAAAUUUUAAUAGCAAACGAAGAUGGAAGAUAGGUCUUGGAUGCAUGCAGAUAAAAGAUCUUUAGCUUAUGAGUUAGGGGUGGGAAGUUUCUUGAAGUUUGCUUUAGAAAAUGUGAAAAAUCCUAACAAUGUUGCUUGUCCAUGUUCAAAAUGUGGCAAUAUGGAUUUCUUUCCUAUCUCUGUUAUCAAGACUCAUUUGUAUUAUAAUGGGGUUGAUGAAACUUAUAAGGUAUGGAAGUGGCAUGGGGAGAAAGAAGAUACGUCUUCGGGUAGUAGUGAAGAUUCAGCCUCAGGUUCAAUUGAAUCUGAAUCUGUGGGUGGGAAUG